UGUGUGUGCAUGCAGGGCUGUGUUUUCUCUCACUCGUCUGUCGAACGCUGCUCUGUUCCUUCACUUUUCAGAAGCUUUGUGUAGAGGAGCUGCACAAAACCAGGUUCACACUGUUGUUUACAGGUGCUGGUCUGAUCAUGGCCUCCAAAUCCAACUUGGUGCUGUUGCUGCUGUUGGCCGUUGCUACGGUUACGGUUCUGGCCCAGAGACGUCGCGGAGGAUCGUCGUCAAAAGCAACGACCACGACAACCACGGACGAGUGGAACUACAGGGAUGGCUCCGACAGGGUGAACAUGAGAGGAGUGGCCAAUCUGACGCAGGUUCUGGACGAC